rnacentral:rRNA from 1 species
CAAUAGCGUAUAUUAAAGUUGUUGCAGUUAAAAAGCUCGUAGUUGGAUUUCUGGUGGGAGCGAUCGGUCUGGCGCUUAGCGCGAGUACUUGCAUCGUCUCCGGCCAUCCUUGGGGAGAGUCUGUCUGGCAUUAAGUUGUCGGGCAGAGGAUCCUCAUCGUUUACCGUGAAAAAAUUAGAGUGUUCAAAGCAGGCUUAUGCCGUUGAAUAUAUUAGCAUGGAAUAAUAAGAUAGGACUUUGGUACUAUUUUGUUGGUUUGCGCACCAAAGUAAUGAUUAAUAGGGACAGUUGGGGGUAUUCGUAUUCCGUUGUCAGAGGUGAAAUUCUUGGAUUUACGGAAGACGAACUACUGCGAAAGCAUUUACCAAGGAUGUUUUCAUUAA